rnacentral:lncRNA from 1 species
UAAAAUAAUUUACUCUCAAUCCAAGACAAAGUAAACAAAUAAUUAGGAUUCUGAUUGACAAUCCAUACUUUCAUUUAGUCUAAGUAAACACCCUACUCCCACUCCCAUUUCACACUCCUAAUCCAAAAAUUCCCACUCCAAUCUAAAAAGUAAAACGUAGCAUAAAUAGUCAAUUACUAUUCAUGUUUUAUGUACUUCUUUUUUCACAUACAUGCAUGUAAAAUUUAAAUAAAAGUAUAUUUUAUAUUUCAUUUUCAAAAACUUUUUCUCAUUUCUUUUUUUCACGGUCAAAAAAAAAAAAAAAGAAAAGAAACGCACCAAGACAGAGAAAAAUCAGAGUUGAUACGGAUUGUCAGGUCAGAGUGCAGAAAUUGAGAGAGACAUUAGUGGGUACUGUAAUGGGACUAACUGGACAGCACAGAAUUGGACAGAACCGAACAGAAACUAAACUAGGGCAAUGUUUCGUAAGAAUCCAGCUAAAAGUUGGAGAUUGAACAGAACCAAAGAAUCAAAUGCCUCCAUUUCUUGUAAAUUUAAACCAUUUAUUUAUAUUUUUUCUGAAUUUUUUGGGCUUUAUUUUUUAUUUUUGGGUAAUAUUGU